UACGGAGGGUGCGAGCGUUAUCCGGAUUUACUGGGUUUAAAGGGUGUGUAGGCGGAUCUUUAAGUCAGUGGUGAAAUCUUCAGGCUCAACCUGGAAACUGCCAUUGAUACUAUUGAUCUUGAAUACUGUGGAGGUGAGCGGAAUGUGUCAUGUAGCGGUGAAAUGCAUAGAGAUGACACAGAACACCGAUUGCGAAGGCAGCUCACUACGCAGUUAUUGACGCUGAGGCACGAAAGCGUGGGGAUCAAACAGG
rnacentral:rRNA from 1 species